UGGCAACAUUAGGAAGAAAGCGGGUUCAUGGCGACCAGUGGGUUCACAUUCUUUGCCAAGACUGCCUCUCAUCGACCAGUGCCACAGGUGCCUCCCACUAGUCUCUUCACCACUUUCUCCCAUCUCCAACUCAGCAUGUUGAGGAAACCCAGUCCCCAAACCACCUCAGCUUGUUGGCAUACAUCACACCAGCUUCCAUCCAAACAAGAUCAUGUGGAUAAAAAAGGUGUAAGCCUUGAAAACAGCAACCUGGGAGGCAAUGUGGCUGUGAGUGCAGGAUCCCGGCUAUGCAUUCCAACUUCUAGGAACCUGGCUCUCCCACCC
rnacentral:lncRNA from 1 species